rnacentral:tRNA from 1 species
AAUUUGUUAAUAUACACGUAUACUUGAUUUCCACUCAAGAAGACUAUGAAUUUCCAUAGACAAAUUA